UUGGGUGGGCCGCGCGCCGGGCCCGGUGCUGCUCCUGUGGCUUGGAGAAAGCUAGAGUGAGCUGUACCCUUGACUUGCGGAGCGGCUGGCUCAGUCAUGGCCGACUACUGGAAGUCUCAACCAAAGAAAUUCUGUGAUUACUGCAAGUGCUGGAUAGCAGAUAAUAGGCCUAGUGUUGAAUUUCGUGAAAGGGGGAAGAAUCAUAAGGAAAAUGUGGCAAAGAGGGAUCAGUGAGAUUAAACAGAAAAGCCUGGACAAGGCAAAAGAAGAAGAAAAGGC